GACAAGGCAAUUAUCAGGUGCAAUUGUACCUCUGAACACUACUCAUUCUCCUACACCAAGCAUAUGGGCAAAUUUCUUGAAUCUUGAGCAACACCAGAGACAUGAUCACCUAAAGAGAAUAGUGCGUUUCGAGGAAGAAGCUAGCUUAGAAGAAGAGGAAGAUGAGGAAAGGGAGCAACAACCACCAUGGUCUUUGAGGAAGUUCUUGAAUAGUCUUUUUGGUGAUGAAGGAAACAAGAGAGACAAGAAACGAGGCGAUGAAGGAAGUAGAGGCAGAGGCAAAGGUCCAGAUUCUUACAACUUGUUCGAUAGGAAGCCAGAUUACAAGAAUGAUUAUGGAUGGAGCUUGGCCUUAGAUAAGUCUGAGUAUCCUCCAUUGAAACACACUGACGUUGGCGUCUACCUCGUCAAUCUUUCAGCGGUAACUCACCUACACCGGACAACAUUAUUAUAUAAAUUAUGAUGUUUGAUCCAUGUUUAUCGUUCUCACAGGGCUAACAUUUUUAGCUUUACGUGUUACCACUUAACUUUAUCGACUAUCGGACUUUAUCCACUAUAGCGUAUGUGACCACUAUACUUCAUCCGCUAUUAGCUGCUGUGAUCACCAAACUCUAUCUACUAGCUAGGGUGUCUUUGAUCACUGAGCUUUAUCGAUCGUGGAAGUUAAGUUGUUGCACCCUAAGUUGCAGGAAGGGAAUGCAAUUGUAUUCUUUCCUUUGGAAAGUUAUGCGAAGAAAAAGGAACAAUUUUUUUGGUAUGUAGAUGUAUAUUUGAACCCCCCUUGGAUAAGGGAGCUUUAUGUUUAGUGGUAAUGCAGUGGUCUUAAGGGUUCAAAACUUUGCUUUAAGGUCACGAGUUUGAAUCCUAGACAUUGUUGAGUUCCUUUAAAUCAUAGGCGCGCUAUUUAUGAAUUUUGAUUUUUUGUUUGAUUAUUAUUGAACUAAGCUAUACGAUUGCAGUCUUUACAUAGUACUACUCUAUCCUACUAUCCUUUCAUGUAGGGAGCUAUGAUGACACCUCACAUCAAUCCAACAGCAACAGAGUACGGAGUAGUGUUGAGAGGGAGCGGCAGCAUCCAGAUCGUGUAUCCAAAUGGGACACUAGCAAUGAACGCUAUAGUAAAUGAAGGAGACGUAUUCUGGGUGCCAAGGUACUUUCCCUUCUGUCAAAUUGCAUCAAGAACUGGACCUUUGGAGUUCUUCGGAUUCACGACGACAGCCAAGAAGAAU
rnacentral:lncRNA from 1 species